UGGCCUCAAACUCAGAAAUCCGCCUGCCUCUGCCUCCCAAGUGCUGGGAUUAAAGGCAUGUGCCACCAACCACCCUGCCUAGCCUCUUGAUCACUUUUCUACAUGGUUAAUUUCAUAUGCUGUUUGUAAGAACUGCAUUACUGUCAUGAAAUCUAUGUAAAGUGUGAGGUUUUUCUCACUCAAAUUCUUAGCUUAUGGCGGGGUUAUUUGUGCUUUAAUAUUUGAUCAGUUUGGCAUUUAUUUUAGUGAAAAUGUAUUAGUAACUCAAUUCAAUUUUUAUUCUUAGUGGCCUGUGAGAUUUUCCAGGGCUGAUAAUUAAAUAUGGUUUGAAAUGCCUCCUCUAUAACAUACUAGGUCUCCUUAUAUAUUUGAAUAUCUUCCUGUGCCUGUUAUUCCCGUCCAGUGACCUGCCUCUUCUAGGCUUAGUUCCACACCAUCCUAAUUAUCCUAUGUUUAUAAUAUGCUUGAGAGCUCAGUGGGGUCAAAUGUCUCUUAUUAGCCUUACUUUUAGCAUUUUACAAAUUCCUCUACCAUAUGCAUGCUUCCAAAUAAACUUCAAAAUCAUGUCAGGAUUAAUAAAAGUACAUCAAAUAUACAAAUCAAUUUAUGGAAUGGUCACUAUUGUUUCCCCAUCACAAAGCAUGUAGGCUUCCUUCAAAAUUAGUUAAGUGUCACAGGACUGCAUCAACUACACAAAACAAUUUAGGAAAAAAUUUAAUAGUGUUUUCCUAGUACCCAAAACAUGUAGACAUCUCCUGUUAUUUGACUUUAAGUAUGUCUUAGGAUUUUUUUUUGUAGUUGCCACAUAUAUGUUGUGUGUCUAUGUAUACACAUACAUGCAUUUAACAACUCAAGUAUAGCCUGGGCUGGCCUCAUACUCUCCAUAUAACCCAGAAUGUCCCUGAACUCUUAAUUCUCCUGCUUCUUGAGUGCUGGGAUUAUAGAUGGUUUAUACAGAAUUUCUAAUAUUUUUUAAAUAUCUAUCAAUAGUGGAUGUAUUCAGUCAUCCAUAGAUAUUUCUAAUAAUUAUGAUCAACAAACACCUAACAUUUAUAGUUCCAGCUCUUAUCCUAUGAGUACACACACACACACCCUAGGUGAAUUAGUGUGUGGAAAUUGCCUAUGUUAACAAGGCAGCCAUGGGCCAACAACACCAAAGGUAUGUGGCCCAAUCUGAUAGACAGCUCCAGGAAGGACUAAAGAUAAAGGAAGAAGGAUUGGACUUGCUGCUAAUAAAGAAUUUGAUAAUUUACAGGGGUAUUGAAACAAAGCAACUGUUGUUAUAGCCAUGGGUCAAUCAUAUUUGAGACCCUGGGCUUUCCCUAUGGUGCCUCAAAAUCUUUUUCAUGCCUUUAUUCAACAUCUUUCACUAUCAUCUGGCAGCUACUUAAUAGUUCUUCUCCAAGGAAUUCCACUUAUGGAGGGGCACCUUGCCAGACCACUUUAGCCUCGUAGCUUCUCUCGGCUACAGUCAUUCCCAGCCCUUUUAUUUUCUUUAGAUCGGUGAGUGAAAUUGCAUUUCAUUUAAACAUUCUUUUGCAUUAGAAAUUGGCAAGGCUUUAUUUUUUUUCCAAAAAAAGCUAGGAUAAGAAAUAGUUUAUGUUUGUGAGCCAGCUGGUCCCUGUUGCAAUUAUCUGGGCUGUCAAGAAAGCUGCCAUAGAUAAUAUGCAAAUUAAUGAGCACGGCUGUGUCCCAAUAAAACUAGUCACAGAAACAAAUACGAAUUUUCAUAUAAUCUUGAUGUGUCAAGAUUUAAUUAUUUUCAUAGUUUUUUUUUCAACAUUUUUUUUAAAUUAGGAAAAUCACUCUUGGUUCAAAGGCUAUGAAGAUAUGUGGUGACCUGGGCCUGGUCAAUGACCUGUCAUUUGCUGAUGUUUGUUUCCAUGCUUGGUUUCUGUUCUUAUCUCAGUUUUGUAAAGCAAUUUCCUCCUAGAUGAAACAGUUCCAGCUUCCCUGAGCCAUCGCCCAUGCCGGGGUGGGCUUUGGUGAUGUGCCUGUCUUUGAGUCAUUUCUCCUUCUUCUCCCAGAUUCCUGUAAGUAACUCCCAAACUCUCUGGUUGAUCAAACUGGACAGAGGUGUUAUCCCUCCUUUGGUCUGAUAACAGCUUCUCUAUAUGGAGUGACAUCUAUCCUCAUCUCCCCAGGAAUUGUAAGGACUUCAGAAGAACAGAAUCGAGAGCUGCCAGCCUGCACAGGAGCUUCUCAGGGACAAGGAAUAUUGUGGAAGAGGCAGAAGAAAGAAUGGAAGAGCCCAAGGACACUGAGGAGAGCUUGGAAACACUGUCUUCUGGACAUGGCAUGGCUUCACACCCAGGAACUCACAGCAACUAUGGUCAGCUGCACACACCUGCACGAGAUCAAGCCAGCGAAACAGUCCAGCAGGGAUACGGCCAGAGCCUAACAGACCCCAGUUCCUAGCAGAGGAACCAUGUGCAAUCGAUGGUUGCUGCGGAAGAUGGUCGUUUUUCCUUGUGGAUUUGCAUUGGUAGGUUCCCCACCCUCAUGCAGGCAGCACUAACUGGACUCAGUGAAUUAUAGAAGGAAGGGGGAGAGUAAGAAGAGGAGAUAAGGCAACGUUUAGGGCAAUUUGGGGAGAGUGAGAAAAAAAGCUGAAGGUAAAUAUAAUCGAGAGUCAAAGAAUAAAUAAAAAUCAGCUGGUUCAGUUUUCUUGUUUACAGAUGAGCCAACAGCAGGAGGGAGAGAUUAAAGUGAUUUGCUGGCUCAAGUCAGCAGUCACAGCACUGCAAUUACUUUGGAUGCUUGUUAUUUGGUUAUCCGACAUCAGCCAGGACUUCCCUGUAAUCUCCUUGAAGCCCUGGACUUCUCUCACCACUUGCAUGAAGAGACACAGGAAAAAAAAUACUUACCACACCAGUGUUUGGAAGCGAAGUUCCUGUUCAGGUCUGUGCCCACGCAGCGGUUGUUCUUGUGAGCAGAGCGGUUCUUCCUCCACAUUCGAUUCUAAAAGAACCAGAGGGGGACAAGGCUAUCUAGCAUCCUGCUGGAGCAUCCCGUCUCUGUCACAGUCCCCAUCUCCAGCCAGAUCCCGGUCAUACUCAUUCAAACUGUUAGCCUGAGCCUAACAAAGGAAUGCUAUCUUGUUGUGACAUUUUUGAGAAUUCUGGGAUUUUGGUUAAGAAGGUGCUUUUAUUUUAACCCCAGGUGUGAGGAUGUGGGGCUGCUUCAGACCGUCCAAAGCAGCUGACUAUGAUUUGCCUCGUGCUCUAGCAGAGAUGCAGUUUUGCCAGCUGCAGAUAGUUUCUGCGACUGUGUGGCAUUGGGAAUUCUGGGAACUUUUGAGAGGGUUUAUAAAUGCUGCAUAAAUGAGAGGCAGGAUUGGUGUUUGUUUUUUUUUUUUUUUUUUUUUUGUCUUUGGUGGGUGGAAGUGAUGGUUGCAUUUUGUUAGUUAUGCUCAAAGAAGAAACAAAAGGAAAGAAAUUAGAUUCAGGGAUUCAUUCUCUCUCUAUAUAUAUAUAUAUCUAUCUCUCUAUCUAUCUCUAUCUCUCUAUCUCUCCCUCCCCUCUAUCCUUCUUUCUUUCCUAUUUAGUGAUAGAGGGUGAAAUGGGGCCAGGGAUAAAGGGUGGAAAAAGGAGAACCCACAAAGUAGCAAAGACCAGCUACCAUAGCUCAUGGGUUUUAGCCUAUUCAAGUAUAAAAAUUCAUUUAGUUCCGCUAAGCAGCACCCUGGCCUUCUUAUUGAGCCCUGUCUCCUUUAGACUUAUUUCACGGACAAGCUUAUUUUGAACUCCUUCAAAGAAAAGUAAAAUAGCUUGUAACUCAGCUCAGAACUAUGAGCUAUGCAUUUAAGCGAUCUCUCUGUACUGUGCUGGUUUGGGCUGGUAAUAAGUCAGAGGAGUGAUUGGUGGAGACUGGGUCUUACACUGUAGCCAGGCUGACCUCAAAGCCCCAGUGAUCCUCCUGCCUCAGCUUCCCAACUUCUGGGAUUACAGACAUGGGCCACCACAUCAACAGUGAGCUUUAAUUUUUAAGAAUUGAUUUUUUUGAGAUGCACAAGGAUGUGUUAAUAAAAUGAUACAAUGUCUUGGA